rnacentral:lncRNA from 1 species
UGGAAUCAAAUCUUGUCCAAAAUCUAUUCUAAAAUAACUAAGAAAAAAAAUACACUUACGCGAGAUGCCGCAACUGACAGGAUGACGACGGACGACAGAAAACCACCACGGACGACCGACUUCCGCGCUUGCUUGACGACCAGAUGACCUCGGACGGUGAUGGCGCAACGAACGGACCAACAACAGAGACGCCGGUGAUGUCCCAACAAACGCGAUGAACUAUGAAAUGCCGGAUGAAAUCGAAGGCGAGAUGAAAUAGAUACGAUGGUCAGUGUUUCACGGUUUGGAGAGAAACAGAGAAGAGAGCAACGAUCGCAAGGGUUUCAAGAUGGGUUUAGAGAGUAGGAGACGUUUGGAAAAAAAUUG